rnacentral:misc_RNA from 1 species
AAACCAUCAGCCAAGACUCGACGACAAAUAUUACUAUGGAACACGAAGACACUUUAUGUUUUUAGUCUGAAUAAUAAGACGUCUGCCUUAUAAUAUAAGAGAUGGAUAGUUAUUUAUUAUUAUUUUUUUCAUUCAAUAGAGGCACAUUGGGAUAUAAUUGAUGAGUUACAUAACGGAGAUAACUUUUUUCUUUUCUCACAGAAAGGUAAAUAAU